GAUGAACGCUAGCUACAGGCUUAACACAUGCAAGUCGAGGGACCGGCGCACGGGUGAGUAACACGUAAACAACCUGCCCUUUACUCGGGGAUAGCCUUUCGAAAGAAAGAUUAAUACCCGAUAUAAAGGAUGGGGAUGCGUUCCAUUAGGUGGUUGGUGAGGUAACGGCCCACCAAGCCUUCGAUGGAUAGGGGUUCUGAGAGGAAUGUCCCCCACAUUGGAACUUAGACACGGUCCAAACUCCUACGGGAGGCAGCAGUGAGGAAUAUUGUUCAAUGGGCGUUAGCCUGAGCCAGCCAAGUAGCGUGAAGGAUGAAGGCUUAUGGGUCGUAAACUUCUUUUAUAUAAGAAUAUGUAUUAUAUGAAUAAGGAUCGGCUAACUCCGUGCCAGCCGCCGCGGUAAUAC
rnacentral:rRNA from 1 species